rfam:Lactobacillus ingluviei strain DSM 14792 Scaffold11, whole genome shotgun sequence.
CAUUUGGUAAGUGACAUCGAAGCUUUCGUUGGUAUUUAUCAAAGAGCACUUCACUAAAGCAGCGUUUCGCCGUGCCCACACCGAGACCCUGCUUUUUUUG